AACGAACGCUGGCGGCAUGCCUAACACAUGCAAGUCGAACGAGACCUUCGGGUCUAGUGGCGCACGGGUGCGUAACGCGUGGGAACCUGCCCUUAGGUUCGGAAUAACUCCCCGAAAGGGGUGCUAAUACCGGAUAAUGUCUUCGGACCAAAGAUUUAUCGCCUUUGGAUGGGCUCGCGUUGGAUUAGCUAGUUGGUAGGGUAAAAGCCUACCAAGGCGACGAUCCAUAGCUGGUCAGAGAGGAUGAUCAGCCACACUGGGACUGAGACACGGCCCAGACUCCUACGGGAGGCAGCAAUGGGGAAUAUUGGACAAUGGGCGAGAGCCUGAUCCAGCUAUGCCGCGUGAGUGAUGAAGGCCUUAGGGUUGUAAAGCUCUUUUACCCGGGAUGAUAAUGACAGUACCGGGAGAAUAAGCUCCGGCUAACUCCGUG
rnacentral:rRNA from 1 species